rnacentral:rRNA from 1 species
UACGUAGGGUGCAAGCGUUAUUCGGAUUUACUGGGCGUAAAGCGCAUGUAGGCGGUUUUAUAAGUCUGAUGUGAAAGCCCCGAACUCAAUUCGGGAAGUGCAUUGGAUACUGUAAGACUAGAGUAUAGGAGAGGUUGGCGGAAUUCCUGGUGUAGAGGUGAAAUUCGUAGAUAUCAGGAGGAACAACAGAGGCGAAGGCGGCUAACUGGACUAUAACUGACGCUGAGAUGCGAAAGUGUGGGGAGCAAACAGG